rnacentral:rRNA from 1 species
CGCAAUGGGGGAAACCCUGACGCAGCGACGCCGCGUGCGGGAAGAAGGCCUUCGGGUCGUAAACCGUCUGUCAGGAGGGAAGAAACCAUUAGAGUCGAAUAGGCUCUUUUGCUGACGGUACCUCCAGAGGAAGCACCGGCUAACUACCGUGCCAGCAGCCGCGGUAAUACGGAGGGUGCGAGCGUUAAUCGGAAUCACUGGGCGUAAAGCGUGCGUAGGCGGCGUAUCAAGUCAGAAGUGAAAGCCCUCGGCUCAACCGAGGAAUGGCUUUUGAAACUGGUACGCUAGAGUCUCGGAGAGAUUGGCGGAAUUCCAGGUGUAGGAGUGAAAUCCGUAGAUAUCUGGAGGAACACCAGUGGCGAAGGCGGCCUACUGGAACGAGAACUAGAGCGUCUGAAGGGUACGAAAGCGGUGGGUAGCAAACAGGAUUAAGAUACCCGUGGUAGUCGCACGGCGUGUAAACGAUGAGACACUGAGGUGUGGCGGGGGUUUACCUCUCCGGUGCCGCAGUUCACGCGAUAAGUGUCCCGCCUGGGG